GACGAACGCUGGCGGCGUGCUUAACACAUGCAAGUCGAACGGCAAGGCCCUGCUUUUGUGGGGUGCUCGAGUGGCGAACGGGUGAGUAACACGUGAGUAACCUGCUCUUGACUUUGGGAUAACUUCAGGAAACGGGGGCUACUACAGGAUAGGAGCUCAUGCUGCAUGGUGGGGGUUGGAAAUUUUCGGCGGUUGGGGAUGGACGAGCGGGUUAUCAGCUUGUUGGUGGGGUAGUGGAUUGCCCAGGCAUUGACGGGUCGCCGGCCCGAGAGGGUGACCGGCCACAUGGCGACUGAGAUACGGCGCAGACUGGUAUGGUGGGCAGCGGGGGGGAAUAUGGUACAAUGGUAGGGAGCCUGAGGAGACAGCGCCGGGGUCGGGAUGCCGGUCUGCUGGGUGAAAAACGCAUCCGGCUGUGACGAAGCUGGAGUGACGGUAAUGAGUGAAUAAGCACCGGCUAACUACGUG
rnacentral:rRNA from 1 species